GAUGAACGCUGGCGGCGUGCUUAACACAUGCAAGUCGAACGAUGAAGCCCAGAUUGUUGGGUGGUUUAGUGGCGAACGGGUGAGUAACACGUGCGUAACCUGCCCUUAACUCUGGGAUAAGCCAGGGCAACUGGGCCUAAUAACGGAUAGGUGCGAUCACCGCACGGUGGGUGUUGGAAAGAUUUAUCGGUUUUGGAUGGACUAGCGGCCUAUCAGCUUGUUGGUGAGGGAUUGGCUCACGAAGGCCUCGCCGGGUAGACGGCCCGGGAGGGUGACCGGCCACACUGGGACUAAGGCAGGGAGCAGGCGGCAACGGGAGGCAGCAGUGGGAAGUAUUGCGCAAUGAGCGCGAGCCUGAUGCAGCGACGCCGCGUGAGUAAUGACGGCCUUCGGGGGAUAAACCUCUGUCUGUGGAGAAGAAGCGGAAUUGACGGUACCUACAGAAGAAGCACCGGCUAACUACGUG
rnacentral:rRNA from 1 species